AUCCGCCGUCCUUUCGAAUUAAAUGAAAUCGUAGGGCUCUGAUUCGCUUUAAAAAUCCCACACGCCAUUGGCUGAAAAGCUUCAAACCCCAAUAAUUUUCAGCCAUACCCCUUCCUCCUGCGUGCUCUGCGAACCAGAGAGCUUCACUGCGAAACUCCCUCUCUCUGGCUCGCCAUCGUCUCUUCGGGCAGCUAUAAAUGCUCUGCAUCAUCUCUCUAAAUUUCACCCGUUCUCCCUCCUCAUUCGCUCUAGGAAUUUCAGUCAAACCCCUUCUUCCUGCGUGCUCUAGAACCAGAGAGCUUCACAAGCACUCUCUCUCUUGCUCGCUAUCGUUUCUCCGGGUGAUUACAAAUGAUCUGCAUCCUCUCUCUCUAAAUUUCAGCGGCUCUACCUCCCCAUUCACUCUAGUAAGCUCGUUGUGGCUGCUGGCAUCUCAAGAAGGCAACACGCUGAGAAAAACCCAACCCAAGACGACUCAGGAUUAGGGUAGUGAAAUCGGUGAGUAGCAAACAAUUUCUUCGAUUUAUAGUUUGUAAAUCACUAGAAAAAUCCUAACUUUAAUUUGAAAAUUUAGUUUUCUAAGUAAAACCAUAAAAAUUCAUGCUGAAAUUUCAGUUAAUUUUUCCCUCCUGCUGAAAUUUGAGUUCAUAUAUAGUUUUUUUUUGGAUUUAGCACAUGAAAGCAUGACAACUGUUUGAUUGCAGUACGGGGCCCAAAAGGAUGGGGCACCGCAUCCAAGCACAAUCAUAUUGGCACUAAAUCGGUAUACUAUUCAUGUGUCAUGGACGCCUCAACAUCAGCAUCUCCUUCCUCUCCUGUCGACAUUACUAGUUCAAAAAAUGGGCACGAGUGUGGUGCUCAGGUUAUGGUAGAUGAAGCUUGUCGUGAUUUUCCAUUUGAUGAGGAUAUAGUUGCAAUAGAUGGAGAAGGAGAUCUUAUACUUAUAGAUGCAGAGGCAGCCCUAGCAAGAGGUGCAAGUAUCAAACCGGCAAUGGGAAUGGAAUUUACUGACGAAGAUGAAGCUUAUGAUUAUGGGUUUGGUAUAAGAAAGGGAAGGACCAUAUGGAAACAUGGUGAAAAAAUUGGUCAGAUUAUACAAUGUUGUAGGCAAAGUUUCGUAGUGAGAUGUAUGAUGGGAGUGAAAAUGCUCAGCCCCACACAAAAUGUGGAUGUCAGGCAAAGAUCCGUAUUAAGAAGAAUGAGAAGCAAAGAUGGGUUAUUACGAAGUUUGUAAAAGAACAUAAUCAUAUUCUCACAACUCCCAACAAGACUAGAUUCAAUUUCUCUCAUCAAAAGAUACCAAACACAUUGAAAAAUAUGAUUGACAAUGAUGAUCUAUUUGAAAAAAUGAAGUUGGGUUUCUUUAAGUUAGUUGAGGAGGUCAAUGUAAUAAAAGAGUCUUUGUCGAAUACACAUGCACCAUUAGCCUCCACUUAUUGUAGUGCUGCAGAAAAUGAAGUAUGUGGCAGUAUUAGAUUAAUUGAUGCCUCCCCCCUUGUACUCGAUCCACCAUGUGCACGAGCAGUUGGACGACCAAGGACUAAAGGAUUAAACCUUCAUGAGAGGAAGGGCCAACAGCUUCUACACAAAAGAAACAGUCGGAGGAAAGGCCACCCACUAAAAGGAAGUGUAAAGUUUGUAAUAAGAGUGGACAUGACUGAUGUAAUUAUCUGGUGACAGCGUGCGGGAUAGCUACUGAGGACCUCAAACCGAGUGGAGACCAUAACAAAUGAAGGGGCUGCAAUUGCACGGAGGACAUGACAAAUUGCGAUACUGCAUUCACAUCGAGGAUAUGGCAACUUGCAGAGGUUUGUUUGCACAUGUAUUUAAAGACAUGUAAAAACCCUUUUUUGUAGUUGACUUUGGGGGUUAUGUCAAUAUUCACUGAAUUUUGCGGGCAUGUAAAAGACCUAUUUAUGAGGCAUGUAAACGACUUGACUAAAUUUUUGAAUUUUGGAGACAUGUAAAUACCCCUUUUUGUAGUUGACUUUAGGGAUUAUGUGAAUAUUCAGUAUUCAUGUAAUUGUACGGGCAUGUAAAGGACCCCUUUAUGGUGGCAUGUAAAGGACCUCUUUAUGGGACAUCUUAAAAACCUAUUUGGUGACUUUUUGAUAACA